CAGGUCUCAGGAGUGCUACUGCACAGGGCUGAGGUCUGCCAGAGGUAUCAGGGAUUAACCCGAAGCAGAGAAUUUGAUCGUGAGAUUCAGGCAUUUCAGGAGAAAAAUAUGGGAAAUUUGUAAUUCCAUUCAGGAAAACUCAAAGUAAGUGAAUGUUGGUUUUUGUUUCAGUUUUUCACUCUCAGGGACAAUGAGAAAGCAAGAGAGGGG
rnacentral:lncRNA from 1 species